GACGAACGCUGGCGGCGUGCUUAACACAUGCAAGUCGAACGGAGUGGCGAACGGGUGAGUAAAACGUGGGUGAUCUGCCUUGCACUUCGGGAUAAGCUAGGGAAACUGGGUCUAAUACCGGAUAGUGCAAGAUGAGCUCGCGGACUAUCAGCUUGGUGGUGGGGUAAUGGCCUACCAAGGCGUCGACGGGUAGCCGGCCUGAGAGGGUGUACGGCCACAUUGGGACUGAGGGACGGCGCAGACGCCUACGUGAGGCAGCAGUGGGGAAUCUUGCACAAUGAGCGGAAGUCUGAUGCAGAGACGCCGGGUGGGGGAUGAAGGCCUUCGGGUUGUAAACUCCUUUCGACAGGGACGCGGUACCUGUAUAAGAAGCACCGGCUAACUACGUGCCAGCAGCCGCGGUAAUUC
rnacentral:rRNA from 1 species